AGUUAAGUGACCUGCGUUCCGGCUUACCUCUGAGUGAUGGGCCUACUGCAGAGCCCGUCUCCCACCACAGUGCUGGCCCAGAAUUUUUUAUACGAACUAGUUCGUAACUAAACGUUGGAAGCAUCACCAUAUUGCCAGUGAGAAGCCCAGAUUAUUCAUCAGCAUGGCUACCUGCUAAUGAAUCAUUGUGGCAGGCCACAACUGUUCCAUCUAACCAUCGAAAUAACCAUAUCAGGAGACACAGUAUAGCUUCUGACAGUGGAGACACUGGCAUUGGAACUUCCUGUUCUGAUAGCGUGGAAGAUCAUUCAACUUCAAGUGGCACAUUAUCUUUUAAGCCUAGUCAAUCAUUGAUUACUCUUCCUACUGCCCAUGUGAUGCCGUCUAAUUCCAGCGCUUCAAUUUCCAAACAUAGGGAAUCAUUGACACCAGAUGGCUCAAAAUGGAGUACAAGCCUCAUGCAAACAUUGGGAAAUCACAGUAGGGGGGAGCAGGACUCUUCACUAGACAUGAAGGACUUCCGGCCACUUCGGAAAUGGUCAUCUUUAUCCAAACUCACUGCCCCGGAUAACUGUGGCCAGGGUGGCACUGUAUGCAGAGAAGAGUCAAGGAAUGGUUUGGAGAAGAUAGGGAGGGCUAAGGCUUUAACAUCACAACUGAGGACAAUUGGGCCUAGCUGUUUACAUGAUAGUAUGGAGAUGCUUAAGUUAGAGGACAAGGAAAUAAAUAAAAAACGGUCAUCAACUCUGGACUGCAAGUAUAAAUUUGAGAGCUGUAGCAAGGAGGACUUUAGAGCCUCUUCCUCUACUCUUAGGAGACAAACUGUAGACAUGACAUAUAGUGCCUUACCUGAAAGCAAGCCCAUUAUGACAAGCUCAGAGGCUUUUGAACCUCCAAAAUAUUUAAUGCUUGGUCAACAGGCAGUAGGUGGAGUUCCCAUUCAGCCUUCCGUAAGGACUCAGAUGUGGCUUACAGAGCAGCUGCGGACAAAUCCUUUGGAAGGUAGAAAUACAGAGGAUUCUUACAGUUUAGCUCCUUGGCAACAGCAGCAAGUUGAAGACUUUCGACAAGGAAGUGAAACACCAAUGCAGGUAAGGCGCAAAAUCUAGUGUUUCCACCCUCCAGUGGAUGUUAUGAGUACAGUAGCACACUUGCAGUAAGCAUAUAACAAGUGUCCACAGAUUGUUUUGCUUUUCCUUUUCCCUGCAAGUUAAUAGGCAGAAAUGUUACAAACCCAAAAAGUGUUGUUGAUAAACAAAACUUACAAAGCAUUUGAGACUAAUUAACAUGAAAAUCUGAAAACCUUGUACCUAGCUUGUUCCUUCCUUUUCAUUUGUUAAAUGGGCAUAAAAAUAAAGCAAAACAUACUCAAUCUAAAGAAACUUGGAAACAGAAACAAAAAAGCUAGCAUAGGUAUAAUAGAAAGAGCAUCAACUUGGCCAUACAAGGUCUUAGAUUUUGUGUCUGGUUCUGAUAGAUUUAGAACCUGGAUGAUUUUUUCACUUAAUUUCUCUGGGCCUCAGUUUCUUCAUCUGUACAAUGAGAAGGUGGAACUAUAGUCAUUUGUAAAGUUUUGGUGAUACAUGAUGU
rnacentral:sRNA from 1 species